GUGCUUGUUUCAGCAGCACAUAUACUAAAAUUGGAACGACACAGACGAUUAGCAUGGUCCCUGCGCAAGGAUGACACACAGAUUUAUGAAGUGUUCCAUAUUGGG